rnacentral:tRNA from 1 species
AAUGCUUUAGGUUAAAAUAAACCACAUGUCUUCAAAACGUGAAAUUAAAGCUUUA